UUCUCCCAAUUAUCCAUAGACACAUUAAGCGUUCCAAUGGAGCAGUCAUAAAGGUACAUAAAAUGCUUUCUGUUUUUAGAAUAUGAUUGUUCUUUUGAUGUACUUUCAGAUCUUCAGAUGUUUCUUUAAAUUGUAUCAUGCAUUAUGCCCGUAAGAGCAAUCAGUAAUGACUUAUUAUGGAUAAUUAUCAGAAGGGAGAAGGUCUUUUAUUGCCUUCAUCUUCAAAACUUCUGAAAAGAUUACCAUAGAUCAAGUCCAAGGGAGCAAAUCCAAACUGGAAUCUUUUUGAAUAAAUAUUUGAUACUGAAUCCUGAUGUGGAGACAUUAGAAUGGUUUUUAGCAAAAUGUUACAACAAAUGGCAAAUCCUUAAUACUGUGGCUUUCUUGUAUUACCACAAAUAUCAGAAAAUUCACUUGGCAUUUGUAAAGAUAUAAAGGAUGAUCCUAUAUAUAUUCAGCUGUAAUUUAUCUGAAAUUGAUAUCCUUUGUCUUUUCCUAUACUGUUAAUCUUUGAUUUAUUUUUUUUU
rnacentral:lncRNA from 1 species